CAUUAAAGAGUUCUAUAACUCCCAAACCCAUGUGAACAUACCUAACGUUGCCUCGGCAGGUCGCACUUACCUUGUAGCACCCUACCCUGUAGGGCCUACCCGGGAGAUGCGGGUAAGCCUGCCGGCGGCCCACCAAACUCUGUUUAAUAUUGAAUUCUGAACAUAUAACUAAAUAAGUUAAAACUUUCAACAACGGAUCUCUUGGUUCUGGCAUCGAUGAAGAACGCAGCGAAAUGCGAUAAGUAAUGUGAAUUGCAGAAUUCAGUGAAUCAUCGAAUCUUUGAACGCAUAUUGCGCCCAUUAGUAUUCUAGUGGGCAGGACCGUUCGAGCGUCAUUUCGACCCUUAAGCCUUAGUUGCUUAGUGUUGGGAGCCUACGGCAACGUAGCUCCUCAAAGUUAGUGGCGGAGUUGGUUCACACUCUAGACGUAGUAAUUUUUUAUCUCGCCUAUUAGUUGGACUGAUCCCCUGCCGUAAAACCCCCAACUUAUCAAGGUUGACCUCGAAUCGGUUCAGACAAACUCGCUAAAUUGAAGCAUCUUAGUCAGCGAAGGAAAAGAAACCAACAGGGAUUGCCCUAGUAACGGCGAGUGAAGCGGCAACAGCUCAAAUUUGAAAUCUGGCCCUCGGGUCCGAGUUGUAAUUUGUAGAGGAUGCUUUUGGCGCGGUGCCUUCCGAGUUCCCUGGAACGGGACGCCUUAGAGGGUGAGAGCCCCGUACGGUUGGACACCAAGCCUCUGUAAAGCUCCUUCGACGAGUCGAGUAGCUUGGGAAUGCUGCUCUAAAUGGGAGGUAAAUUUCUUCUAAAGCUAAAUAUUGGCCAGAGACCGAUAGCGCACAAGUAGAGUGAUCGAAAGAUGAAAAGCACUUUGAAAAGAGGGUUAAACAGCACGUGAAAUUGUU
rnacentral:rRNA from 1 species